UAAAUAUUUGCACUUUUCAUAUUACUUCAAAAGCUUGACGUGCGACGUCCAAAAGAGUAUUAAGGUCAAACUGAACAGAAUAAUGUCACAUGAUUAGGAUGAGGCUGAAAUUCUCAUUUACAAGCAAAACAAACAAAAAAAAGUUGUAAUUUUGUGACAUUCAAGAAUUUAAACUAUGUUCUUAUGAUACAACUUAAAUCUCAAAUGUCCUCUCGUAAUGUGACAGCUGCAACAUGACGACUCUUGCGGUCACAUUAAAUGAGAGGUGUAAGAAUAAAUCUUUAGUCUUCAUUUCCGAAACAUUCCGACUUCAUUCUCGGAUCAUUAUGAUCCCACCCCGGCCCCUCUUAAUAUUACAUCUGUUGUUGUU